GGACUGGUAGCUCAAGAGGAAGAGCACUGCGACAGCAUCGCGGAGGUUGGGAGUUCGAGCCUCCCUCAGUUCC
rnacentral:tRNA from 1 species